GGGUCGGUAGCAUAGUUGGUUAUUGCGCACGACUGUUAAUCGUGAGGUCGAGGGUUCGAGUCCCUCCCUGACCG
rnacentral:tRNA from 1 species